ensembl:snRNA U6 U6 spliceosomal RNA
GUGCUUGCUUCGGCAGCCCGUGUACUAACUUUGGAACGAUAGAGAAGAUUAGCAUGGCCCCUGCCAAGGAUGACACGCAAAUUCGUUAAGCGUUCCAUAUUUUU